CGGGCAAUAGCGCAGCUGGUAGCGCGCUACGUUCGGGACGUAGAGGUCGGCGGUUCAAAUCCGCCUUGCCCGA
rnacentral:tRNA from 2 species